GAUGAACGCUGGCGGCGUGCCUAAUACAUGCAAGUCGAGCGAACAGACGAGGAGCUUGCUCCUCUGACGUUAGCGGCGGACGGGUGAGUAACACGUGGAUAACCUACCUCUAAGACUGGGAUAACUUCGGGAAACCGGAGCUACUACCGGAUAAUAUAUUGAACCGCAUGGUUCAAUAGUGAAAGACGGUUUUGCUGUCACUUAUAGAUGGAUCCGCGCCGCAUUAGCUAGUUGGUAAGGUAACGGCUUACCAAGGCAACGAUGCGUAGCCGACCUGAGAGGGUGAUCGGCCACACUGGAACUGAGACACGGUCCAGACUCCUACGGGAGGCAGCAGUAGGGAAUCUUCCGCAAUGGGCGAAAGCCUGACGGAGCAACGCCGCGUGAGUGAUGAAGGUCUUCGGAUCGUAAAACUCUGUUAUUAGGGAAGAACAAAUGUGUAAGUAACUAUGCACGUCUUGACGGUACCUAAUCAGAAAGCCACGGCUAACUACGUG
rnacentral:rRNA from 1 species